GCGGAUGUGGUGAAAUGGUAUACACGCUAUCUUGAGGUGGUAGUGCCGUAAGGCGUGGAGGUUCAACUCCUCUCAUCCGCA
rnacentral:tRNA from 1 species